rnacentral:rRNA from 1 species
CCUACGGGUGGCAGCAGUGGGGUAUAUUGGACAAUGGGGGCAACCCUGAUCCAGCCAUGCCGCGUGUGUGAAGAAGGCCCUCGGGUUGUAAAGCACUUUCAGUGAGGAAGAACGCCUGGUGGUUAAUACCCAUCAGGAAAGACAUCACUCACAGAAGAAGCACCGGCUAACUCCGUGCCAGCAGCCGCGGUAAUCGGAGGGUGCGAGCGUUAAUCGGAAUUACUGGGCGUAAAGCGCGCGUAGGUGGCUUGAUAAGCCGGUUGUGAAAGCCCCGGGCUCAACCUGGGAACGGCAUCCGGAACUGUCAAGCUAGAGUGCAGGAGAGGAAGGUAGAAUUCCCGGUGUAGCGGUGAAAUGCGUAGAGAUCGGGAGGAAUACCAGUGGCGAAGGCGGCCUUCUGGACUGACACUGACACUGAGGUGCGAAAGCGUGGGUAGCAAACAGGAUUAGAUACCCUUGUAGUC